GCGGCCCCAACAACCCCGACCCCAAAGCCCCCGUCCUCACCGCCGGCCGCGUCGCCGCCCGCCAAAGAUGGAGAAGGAGGAACACGUGGCGCGCGCGGAUUGAGCCCCAAAAUCGAGUGAUGAAAGAUCGACAGCCAUCGGAGGUGGGCGAGGCCGCUACACCCGGGCGGCGAGGAAGACCAAAGGCCAGAGCAGAGGCGACCGGACGACGGAGUGCGGGCCACGGAGCCAUCCACGGGCGGCGCACCUUUACACGGGCGGAGCCGGCCGGCGGAGUUGGAGAGGCGGAGUGACCGGAGAAGCCGGUCGUGGAGCCGGAGUCCUGGCGUCCGCCAUGGAGCCGAACUGCUGCAGACAUGGCGACGGGUGGCCGCAGAGCUGGAGCCUGGAGGCCAUGGCGACCAGCGCAUCUCGGGCGGAUGGGGAUUGCAGCAAGCGAGCGAGCGAACCGUGGUGGGCCUCGAUGCCUCGCGGGGGCUGGGCAGCCCAAUCAAUGGAUGGAUGUGCAGGAGAGUUAGGAAGGAUGGAUCUUGCUGGGCUCUAUGGGCCAGGUUCUUUUCAAGGGAACUCACUGGCUUCGGCUAUGGGCCAAGUUGCAGCGAAGUGAAGAGCGAACUCAAAUGAUUGUUGAAGGCUGUCGAAGAAUUGAGACGGUGGCUUUACAAGUGUUCGCGUCUUUUGGCUGGCCAUAUACGGCUAGGAUUUCCUUUUGAAUAAUUUGGACUCUGUAAUGGUCGUUAACUUUGUUUGGUGUGGUUUGUAACAAUCCUGGUCUGAUUCUCUCUUUGGAGAAUUGAAGCCGGAAACUAAGUUUCCAUUAUCUAAAAAAAAAACAUGACACGCGAGGGCGAGGAGAGCAAAAUGGAUUCCCAAGAGGAGCGGACCAGAUAUAUUGGAUGAAAUGAAACUUUUGAGUGCAGAAUCUUGCUCCUAGACA